AGGUUCUUUCAGAAAGAGCUUACUGGGCUGUGAACCCAGGAGUUCUUAAUUUUUUCAGAUUCUACGCAGGAAGGCCUGCUCUACUGAAUAGUGCUGGUCUCCUGCAGAGAUAUAAGA
rnacentral:snoRNA from 1 species